rnacentral:rRNA from 1 species
GAACGGGUGAGUACAUAUCGGAACGUAUCCAAUAAUGGGGGAUAACUAAUCGAAAGGUUGGCUAAUACCGCAUACGCCCUACGGGGGAAAGCAGGGGAUCUUCGGACCUUGCGUUAAUGGAGCGGCCGAUAUCUGAUUAGCUAGUUGGUGGGGUAAAGGCCCACCAAGGCGACGAUCAGUAGCUGGUCUGAGAGGACGACCAGCCACACUGGAACUGAGACACGGUCCAGACUCCUACGGGAGGCAGCAGUGGGGAAUUUUGGACAAUGGGCGCAAGCCUGAUCCAGCCAUUCCGCGUGAGCGAAGAAGGCCUUCGGGUUGUAAAGCUCUUUCGCAAGGGAAGAAACGAUACUGGUGAAUAUCCAGUGUUAAUGACGGUACCUUGAUAAGAAGCACCGGCUAACUACGUGCCAGCAGCCGCGGUAAUACGUAGGGUGCGAGCGUUAAUCGGAAUUACUGGGCGUAAAGCGUGCGCAGGCGGUUUUGUAAGUCAGAUGUGAAAUCCCCGAGCUCAACUUGGGAACUGCGUUUGAAACUACAAGACUAGAAUAGGUCAGAGGGGGGUAGAAUUCCACGUGUAGCAGUGAAAUGCGUAGAGAUGUGGAGGAAUAUCAAUGGCGAAGGCAGCCCCCUGGGAUCAUAUUGACGCUCAUGCACGAAAGCGUGGGGAGCAAACAGGAUUAGAUACCCUGGUAGUCCACGCCCUAAACGAUGUCAACUAGUUGUUGGUAGAGUAAAAUCUAUGAGUAACGCAGCUAACGCGUGAAGUUGACCGCCUGGGGAGUACGAUCG